UUUAAAUGUAAAUUUUUGAACUAAAUUAGUAAUAGAUAUGAUCUUCAAAUUUAAAGAUUUUGGCGGUAUUUUAGUCUAUUCAGAGGAACCUGUUCUGUAAUUGAUAGUCCACGAUUAACUUCACUUAAUUUUAAAAAUUUGUAUAUCGUUGUUUAUAGAAAAUUUUAUAAGAAAAAUAAUUUUUAAUAAAUUUAAUUAAAUUAUAAAUCAAAUCAAGGUGCAGUUUAUAGUUAAGGUAGAAAUGGGUUACAAUAAAUUUAUUUAUUAAUGGAUAUAAAUUUUAAAAUUUUAUUAAAGGUGGAUUUGAUAGUAAUAUUAUUUAAUUUAAUAAUAUGAUUAUAGCUCUAAAAUAUGU
rnacentral:rRNA from 1 species